UGGGGGGCUGCCUAAUAAUGCAAGUCGAGCGGACUUAAAAGCUUGCUUUUUAAGUUAGCGGCGGACGGGUGAGUAACACGUGGGCAACCUGCCUGUAAGACUGGGAUAACUUCGGGAAACCGGAGCUAAUACCGGAUAAUCCUUUCCUACUCAUGUAGGAAAGCUGAAAGACGGUUUACGCUGUCACUUACAGAUGGGCCCGCGGCGCAUUAGCUAGUUGGUGAGGUAACGGCUCACCAAGGCGACGAUGCGUAGCCGACCUGAGAGGGUGAUCGGCCACACUGGGACUGAGACACGGCCCAGACUCCUACGGGAGGCAGCAGUAGGGAAUCUUCCGCAAUGGACGAAAGUCUGACGGAGCAACGCCGCGUGAGUGAUGAAGGUUUUCGGAUCGUAAAACUCUGUUGUUAGGGAAGAACAAGUACGAGAGUAACUGCUCGUACCUUGACGGUACCUAACCAGAAAGCCACGGCUAACUACGUGCCAGCAGCCGCGGUAAUAA
rnacentral:rRNA from 2 species